GUGCCAGCAGCCGCGGUAAUACGGAGGGGGUUAGCGUUGUUCGGAAUUACUGGGCGUAAAGCGCACGUAGGCGGAUUAUAAAGUUGGGGGUGAAAUCCCGGGGCUCAACCCCGGAACUGCCUCCAAAACUCCUAGUCUAGAGUUCGAGAGAGGUGGGUGGAAUUCCGAGUGUAGAGGUGAAAUUCGUAGAUAUUCGGAGGAACACCAGUGGCGAAGGCGGCUCACUGGCUCGAUACUGACGCUGAGGUGCGAAAGUGUGGGGAGCAAACAGGAUUAUAUACCCUGGUAGUCCACACCGUAAACGAUGAAUGCCAGUCGUCGGGUAGUAUACUAUUCGGUGACACACCUAACGGAUUAAGCAUUCCGCCUGGGGAGUACGGUCGCAAGAUUAAAACUCAAAGGAAUUGACGGGGGCCCGCACAAGCGGUGGAGCAUGUGGUUUAAUUCUAAGCAACGCGCAGAACCUUACCAACCCUUGACAUCCUGUGACAACUCGAGAGAUCGAGCGUUCCUUCGGGACACAUUGACAGGUGCUGCAUGGCUGUCGUCCGCUCGUGUCGUGAGAUGUUCGGUUAAUCCGGCAACGAGCGCAACCCACAUCUUUUAGUUGCCAGCAGUUCGGCUGGGCACUCUAAAUAAACCUGCCCGUUGAUAAGCGGGGAGGAAGGUGUGGGAUGAACGUCAAAUUC
rnacentral:rRNA from 1 species